CUGGUCUUGACAUCCACGGAAGUUUUCAGAGAUGAGAAUGUGCCUUCGGGAACCGUGAGACAGGUGCUGCAUGGCUGUCGUCAGCUCGUGUUGUGAAAUGUUGGGUUAAGUCCCGCAACGAGCGCAACCCUUAUCCUUUGUUGCCAGCGGUCCGGCCGGGAACUCAAAGGAGACUGCCAGUGAUAAACUGGAGGAAGGUGGGGAUGACGUCAAGUCAUCAUGGCCCUUACGACCAGGGCUACACACGUGCUACAAUGGCGCANACAAAGAGAANCGACCUCGCGAGAGCAAGCGGACCUCAUAAAGUGCGUCGUAGUCCGGAUUGGAGUCUGCAACUCGACUCCAUGAAGUCGGAAUCGCUAGUAAUCGUGGAUCAGAAUGCCACGGUGAAUACGUUCCCGGGCCUUGUACACACCGCCCGUCACACCAUGGGAGUGGGUUGCAAAAGAAGUAGGUAGCUUAACCUUCGGGAGGGCGCUUACCCCUUUGUGAUUCAUGACUGGGGUG
rnacentral:rRNA from 1 species